AGCGCAGGUGGAUGGUUAAGUCAGGUGUGAAACCUGCGGGCUCAACCCGCAGCCUGCACCUGAAACUGGCUAUCUGGAGUCCCGGAGAGGUAGGCGGAAUACCUGGUGUAGCGGUGAAAUGCGUAGAUAUCAGGUGGAACACCAAUGGCGAAGGCAGCCUACUGGACGGUGACUGACACUGAGGCUCGAAAGGCUGGGAGCAAACA
rnacentral:rRNA from 1 species